AUAGGGUCAAGUGACUAAGUGCAUGUGGUGGAUGCCUUGGCGAUUACAGGCGAUGAAGGACGUGGCAGUCUGCGAUAAGCCUCGGGGAGCUGGCAAGCAAGCUUUGAUCCGGGGAUUUCCGAAUGGGGAAACCCACCCGCAAGGGUAUCGUCAUCUGAAUACAUAGGGUGGCGAGGCGAACCGGGCGAACUGAAACAUCUCAGUAGCUCGAGGAAAAGACAUCAACCGAGAUUCCGAAAGUAGUGGCGAGCGAAAUCGGAACAGCCUGUACGUUUUAGCAGUCGAUUUAUCAGAACGGUCUGGAAAGUCCGGCCAUAGCAGGUGAUAGCCCUGUAUGAAAAAAGUCUUCUGUGGAACUAAGCGUACGACAAGUAGGGCGGGGCACGUGAAACCCUGUCUGAACAUGGGGGGACCAUCCUCCAAGGCUAAAUACUCGUAAUCGACCGAUAGCGAACUAGUACCGUGAGGGAAAGGCGAAAAGAACCCCGGGAGGGGAGUGAAAUAGAUCCUGAAACCGCAUGCAUACAAAAAGUCGGAGCCCGCAAGGGUGACGGCGUACCUUUUGUAUAAUGGGUCAGCGACUUACAUUCAGUGGCAAGCUUAACCGAAUAGGGAAGGCGAAGGGAAACCGAGUCCGAAUAGGGCGUCUAGUCGCUGGGUGUAGACCCGAAACCAAGUGAUCUAUCCAUGGCCAGGAUGAAGGUAGGGUAACACCUGCUGGAGGUCCGAACCGACUAGUGUUGCAAAACUAGCGGAUGAGCUGUGGAUAGGGGUGAAAGGCUAAACAAACUUGGAGAUAGCUGGUUCUCUCCGAAAACUAUUUAGGUAGUGCCUCAAGUAUUACCGUCGGGGGUAGAGCACUGUUAUGGCUAGGGGGUCAUGGCGACUUACCAAACCAUUGCAAACUCCGAAUACCGAUGAGUACAGCUUGGGAGACAGUGCACCGGGUGCUAACGUCCGGACACAAGAGGGAAACAACCCAGACCGCCAGCUAAGGUCCCCAAAAUUGGCUAAGUGGGAAACGAAGUGGGAAGGCUAAAACAGUCAGGAUGUUGGCUUAGAAGCAGCCACCAUUUAAAGAAAGCGUAAUAGCUCACUGAUCGAGUCGUCCUGCGCGGAAGAUGUAACGGGGCUAAGCCAGUUACCGAAGCUGCGGAUUUGCACGCAAGUGCAAGUGGUAGGAGAGCGUUCCGUACGCCUGCGAAGGUGGAUCGUGAGGUCUGCUGGAGGUAUCGGAAGUGCGAAUGCUGACAUGAGUAGCGUUAAAGGGGGUGAAAAGCCCCCUCGCCGAAAGCGCAAGGUUUCCUACGCAACGUUCAUCGGCGUAGGGUGAGUCGGCCCCUAAGGCGAGGCAGAGAUGCGUAGCUGAUGGGAAACAGGUCAAUAUUCCUGUACCGAUGUGUAGUGCGAUGUGGGGACGGAGAAGGUUAGCUCAGCCGGGUGUUGGAUGUCCCGGUUCAAGCCUGUAGUCGUGGCCCUUAGGCAAAUCCGGGGGUCUUAGAUGAGGGGUGAUAACGAGGAAGCUUGCUUCCGAAGUGAGUGAUACCCUGCUUCCAGGAAAAGCCACUAAGCUUCAGCUGCACACGACCGUACCGCAAACCGACACUGGUGCGCGAGAUGAGUAUUCUAAGGCGCUUGAGAGAACUCUGGAGAAGGAACUCGGCAAAUUGACACCGUAACUUCGGAAGAAGGUGUGCCUUUAGUAGGUGAACCAUUUACUUGGGGAGCCCAAUGAGGCCGCAGAGAAUCGGUGGCUGCGACUGUUUAUUAAAAACACAGCACUCUGCAAAGACGAAAGUCGACGUAUAGGGUGUGACGCCUGCCCGGUGCUGGAAGAUUAAAUGAUGGGGUGCAAGCUCUUGAUUGAAGUCCCAGUAAACGGCGGCCGUAACUAUAACGGUCCUAAGGUAGCGAAAUUCCUUGUCGGGUAAGUUCCGACCUGCACGAAUGGCGUAACGAUGGCCACACUGUCUCCUCCAGAGACUCAGCGAAGUUGAAAUGUUUGUGAUGAUGCAAUCUCCCCGCGGAAAGACGGAAAGACCCCAUGAACCUUUACUGUAGCUUUACAUUGGACUUUGAACAGAUCUGUGUAGGAUAGGUGGGAGGCUUUGAAGCGGUGCCGCUAGGUAUCGUGGAGCCAACGUUGAAAUACCACCCUGGUGUGUUUGAGGUUCUAACCUUGGCCCGUUAUCCGGGUUGGGGACAGUGUAUGGUGGGCAGUUUGACUGGGGCGGUCUCCUCCCAAAGCGUAACGGAGGAGUUCGAAGGUACGCUAGGCACGGUCGGAAAUCGUGCUAAUAGUGCAUAGGCAUAAGCGUGCUUGACUGCGAGACUGACAAGUCGAGCAGGUACGAAAGUAGGACUAAGUGAUCCGGUGGUUCUGUAUGGAAGGGCCAUCGCUCAACGGAUAAAAGGUACUCUGGGGAUAACAGGCUGAUACCGCCCAAGAGUUCAUAUCGACGGCGGUGUUUGGCACCUCGAUGUCGGCUCAUCUCAUCCUGGGGCUGUAGCCGGUCCCAAGGGUAUGGCUGUUCGCCAUUUAAAGAGGUACGUGAGCUGGGUUUAAAACGUCGUGAGACAGUUUGGUCCCUAUCUUCCGUGGGCGCUGCAAGAUUGAGGAAGCCUGCUCCUAGUACGAGAGGACCGGAGUGGACGCACCUCUGGUGUAUCGGUUGUCACGCCAGUGGCAUUGCCGAGUAGCUAAGUGCGGAAGAGAUAACCGCUGAAAGCAUCUAAGCGGGAAACUCGUUCCAAGAUGAGUCUUGCCGGGGCCUUGAGCCCCCUGAAGAGUCGUUCGAGACCAGGACGUUGAUAGGCCGGGUGUGGAAGCGCAGUAAUGCGUUGAGCUAACCGGUACUAAUUGCUCGUGAGGCUUGACCCUAUAACUUUGACGAUUGAGUCAAACGGGUUAUGCCAAAA
rnacentral:rRNA from 1 species